rnacentral:ncRNA from 19 species
GCCCCGGUAGAGUGAGCAGGUCGUCAUCAUGCCCGUACAGGGGGAAGCCGGUGCGAAUCCGGCGCUGACCGCGCAACCGUGAACCGCCGCACCGGUGGUGAGCCGGACCACCCUGCCGGCGCGUGACCGGC